UUUAUUUUAAAAAAAUUAAACUCAGAUCAAUAAGUAUUAAUAACGUGUCAUAAUUUGUUUUCGAAAUAGCCAACCCCAUAUUAACUCUUACCUUAAAAAGAGGGAGAAAGCAAGCUCUUCCUUGUACAAAUUGAUUUGCAAUUUUUCAUCAAUCAUGGCAUGAAUUUGGCAUGUUUCAGCAAUCUUUGAAAUCCGUGUUCAAAGACCCAUCUAGCAUGUAUUUAUAUUCAUGCCAAUUUUUACUAUAUAAAGGACUGAAAACUUUUGGGUGAAUUUGCUUUCCAUAUACUAUAUGUUAAAUUUAAUUGUCUUUUAUAUAUGUAUAAUCAAUUAGUAGCAUGAUUAAUCCUUAAUUAAGUGAAUGUCAUUUACUUUUUUUGAGUUUCCACCGGAGAUGGAGCUUCCAAUUGCACCGUUCUCACUGUGGCAAACGAGACCUAAAGCAAUAAAUUUUGUUCUUAAACUACAAACUGAAAAAGCUGUUGAAGAAAGGAGCAGACGUGAAGCGGGGAGCCAUGGAAGAUGUGGACAUAUCUGUGGGGUUGCAGAUCAGAAUUCUGAUAUUGAAAUGGAAUCGCCAUUCUUUCUAGAACUCAUAAAAGGCCAAAAAAAAAAUGCCACUUUCUUUGACCAUUUAUAACUGAUCCCCAAGAAUUUUGCAUUGGAUGCUGUUAUUAGUACUGAUCGACAUGGUUUUUCUUUUUUUUUUCCUAUGUUCAACAUAAACUUUAUGGGUGGGGGGGACACUGGGAGGACACACAAUCCACGCUAUUUCUCUAGAAUAUUUGCUAAAAUUACUGUUAUUCAGUCUUAUAAUAAAUUAAUAAUGUAUUAUUUUUAUAAUACAAUAUAUUUUCAGGUUUUGUCUUUUCCCUUUCAAAGGCACAUCCUUUGUGAUCUUGGUUCAUUUAAAAUUUUUAUUUUUAAAGUGUUUUUAAUAAGAAUUAAAUUUUUUUCACAACAAGGUUUAGACAAGGAUAGCUUACUUCAACACAAGAUUAAAACAUAUCAUAAACUCCAAUGAGCUUUUAUAUUGAAUUUACAAAUUAUCAAUAGAAAAGAUUAUUGAUAAGAAAAAUCAAAUUUAAAUUUUAUAAAUAAAGUAUUUGAUUUUUACUAAUUCAACCAAUUAAGAAGAAAAUGAAUUCUUUUCUUUAUCAAAUUAAUUAAUUCUUCUAUGUCCUAUAAUAAAAUUUUUUUAUGAAAAGAUUUAUGAAAUAAAUCAGCUGUAUAAUGCUGAAGUGAGCAUAUCAAAAUAUGGUAAAAUAUAUUUUACUUAUUAAUAAUCGUACAUACAAAAACAACAUUAACUAAAAGAAAUAGUUCAAAUACGACAUUGAAAUCAAAUAAAAUUUUAUUUAAUAAAGUAAUUUUUAAAUAUAAUCAAUGCUUCAAACUUAUCAAAUUGAUAUACUAUCGAAUAGAAUUUUUGUACGAUUAGAUCACGGAAGAGAUAGGGUGUUAAAGAAAAUAUGCCAUUCAUGUCAAGUAGGGUUAAAUGCAUAAAUUUGGAACAAAAGAGGAAUAAAAUGAAAAAUAAAGAAAUAAAGUAAUAGAAUAAACUUUUUGGGAGGGAUUCUUUUUAAAUUUGUACUCAAAUUCAGUGCAUGCAAAAUGCAAGAGAAACGUGAAUACCUUUUUAACUGGAAUCCUCUUUGACAAGUGGUUUUUUAUGGUCAUUUCAGCAUAUUCUUUCUUGCAUGCCAACAAUGUUAUUUCUGCCAUCUUUCGUCAUCUUUGAAAAAAGAGACCAGGCCCAUUUUCCAUCUUGAUUUCUAGCUUCCAAAAUCACGUUGAAAUGGGAAUGAGAAGAAUAUUUCUUCGCCUACCAAAAUCAUGGAGAUGACCAAUUUGCUUGUAGCGUAACCUUUUAAAAUUCUUUGUUCUGCUUCCACUUUUGAAUAGUAGUAUUCUUUUUUCUUUUUUU